UUGACCGUGCAAGUACCUAUAUAGCUCCUGAGAUUUAUAAAGAUGAAAUAUUCGAUAGAAGCGUGGAUGUAUAUGCUUUUGGAGUGUUACUUUAUGAGAUGAUGGAGGGAUCACCACCAUUUCAUCCCAAGUCACCUGAAGAGGCUGCUAGAUUGAUGUGCAAAGAGGGUAAAAGACCACCGUUCAAGUCAAAAUCUAAGUACCCGCCGGACCUUAGAGAGUUGAUUGAAG
rnacentral:misc_RNA from 1 species